UACAGAGGUCCCAAGCGUUGUUCGGAUUCACUGGGCGUAAAGGGUGCGUAGGUGGCGGGGUAAGUUUGAUGUGAAAUCUCCGGGCUUAACCCGGAAAUGGCAUUGAAUACUAUUCUGCUGGAGGUUUGGAGGGGGGACUGGAAUUCUCGGUGUAGCAGUGAAAUGCGUAGAUAUCGAGAGGAACACCAGUGGCGAAGGCGAGUCCCUGGACAACACCUGACACUGAGGCACGAAAGCUAGGGGAGCAAACGGG
rnacentral:rRNA from 1 species